UACGGGGGGGCAAGCGUUGUUCGGAAUUACUGGGCGUAAAGGGUUCGUAGGUGGCCAACUAAGUCAGACGUGAAAUCCCUCAGCUUAACUGGGGAACUGCGUCUGAUACUGGUUGGCUUGAGUGCAGGAGAGGGACGCGGAAUUCCAGGUGUAGCGGUGAAAUGCGUAGAUAUCUGGAGGAACACCGGUGGCGAAGGCGGCGUUCUGGACUGCAACUGACACUGAGGAACGAAAGCCAGGGUAGCAAACGGG
rnacentral:rRNA from 1 species